rfam:Loktanella hongkongensis DSM 17492 genomic scaffold Scaffold5, whole genome shotgun sequence.
CCCCUUUUCACCGCCGAUCCCCGCGCCUAUAUUCGUCAUGUCCUUUCGGGGACUAUGGACAUAAACGCGCCUGUAAUAAGCGGAUCGGACCCGGGGGCGGUACCCGGCGGCUCCACCACACAUCCCUCGUUGGGGGCAGAUGGGGCCGAAACAGGAUCGACGAACGUGUAAAGAGGUCUGCUUUGUCUCGGUGAGGUACCACCGAUAUCGGUCCAAAAUUGUACAGUUGCCAACGACAACCGUGCUCCGGCAAUGGCUGUGGCUGCCUAAGCAGUCUCGGUCCGCCGAAACUUAAGUCCUAGCGCCUAGCCGCGUUAGGCGGGGUUCGCAGGCACCUGGCAACAGAAGCCUGCACU